rnacentral:rRNA from 1 species
GACGUAGGGGGCCAGCGUUGUUCGGAAUUACUGGGUGUAAAGGGUUCGUAGGCGGUGCGGCAAGUUGGGGAGUGAAAUCUCUGGGCUUAACCCAGAGGCUGCUUCCAAAACUGCUGUGCUUGAGUGUGGGAGAGGCGCGUGGAAUUGCAGGUGUAGCGGUGAAAUGCGUAGAUAUCUGCAGGAACACCCGUGGCGAAAGCGGCGCGCUGGACCACUACUGACGCUGAGGAACGAAAGCUAGGGGAGCAAACAGG